rnacentral:snRNA from 1 species
AGCUUUGCACAGUGGCAGUAUCAUAGCCAAUGAGGUUUAUCCAAGGCGUGAUUAUUGCUAAUUGAAAACUUUUCCCAAUACCCUGCCAUGACGAAUUGAAAUAUAGUUAUAUAGUUGGCAUUGGCAUUUUUUGACAAUCUCUACAGAGA